rnacentral:lncRNA from 1 species
UGCGUGGAUAUUUUGUUUUAAUAUCUUUUAAUAAUUUACUUUUUGCGUAAGAUAUAUUCAUUAAUUAUUUUAUCCUGUAGUAAUUACAGAGUUACAAAUUCUUGUAUAAUAAUUUAUCCUAUCUGUACUAUAAUAUAUAUCUAAUUCUAGAUUUUCAAUGUUAUUUAUUAUCUUGUGUUGUUCUUCUCGUAGUGAGUUUUUUAAAUUAUAUAAACUAUCACAUGUAUUUUUAUCUAAAUUUUCUAAGGUUUUUUCUAUCCAUGCUAAUUUUUCUUUUAGGUCUUCUAUUAUUUUUCUAAUUCGGUUUCUAUAACUAAUUUCAUUAUUUAGAUUUUCUUGAUUUUCUCUAGUUUGUCUAAUAUAUUCUAACAUGUUUUUAGUCUGAAUAAUAUUCUUCUGGGUAAAUUUCUUCGUAUAACUGUUCUAGAUAAUUUGUAGUUUCAAUUUCAUAGUUUAUUACUUCUUCUAAUAUUAUUUUCUUAAUAUCCAUAAUUUCU